GCGCGCCCUUAAAUUAGUGUCUAAAAAAAACACGGAGGGCACCUAUAAUAAAAUGCGCGUCGUCUAAGGAUGUCGCUUUAUAAUUUUUAAUGGAACGCGCGUUCCAUCCUUUAACAGUAGGGGGAAAUGAAAUUCUGAAAAAAUUAAAAAUCCCGCCUUCCUUUUUUUUCUCCUUUCCCUCUUGCCCUGGACGCUCCUUCCUUCCCCCUCCCGACAUUGACUGCUGCUUACUUCUUCCCUCACUUCUACCUACUGGAACCACCAUAUCUCCCACUCGAUGUUGAAAUUGUUAGAAAAAGCCCUAAUUAUACUCUUAAGUCUAAAUACAGAAAAAAUAGAAGAUGGUGAAGAAGUAGCAGUAGAAAAAGCCCUAAUCGGAGGUGGUCCUGUUCUUCAUUGUUUCUUCGAUGUUGAAAUUGUUAGAAAAAGCCCUAAUCGGAGGUGGUCCUGUUCUUCCUCCCACCACGAUUCCCAGCUUUUGUUCGCCGGAACACCGAUUCCACCGUGGUUUCUGAUCCAUGCUGACCAGUCGUCCCAGUCUUCAACGAUUUUCUGCCAUUGAAAUCCGGAUGGGUUGAAAAGAAAAGGGGCGAACAGCCACGACACGACUAGGAACCACAUUGAGAUGGUUAGGUGGCUCUGUAUUUGGCGCCGCCGUGGAGAAUUGUGCGACCUAAAUAGUGACGUUUGGUGCCAAGAGAGAAGGUGAAGAAGACAGCGGAGAGCUGGAGGUUCAUGAUUAUUAGACACACACACACACACAUAAUUGAAUUCCAUUUCUAGGGCAAUAGCAGGCAACAUCGACACACUCUAAGAUUGCAACCUUCUCACCGUCCGUCUGUUUGGUAUGUCUCCUCCCAACGUUGAUGGUGGUGUUGCCGUCUCAACUACUCAUCUCCCCCACCACCGCCUUCCAUUCCAUCUUUGUUUGCUCCCAAUUCCAUAUUCGUUUGCUACGUGUCCAUCAUAAAUGAUUUUUCUUUUUGUUUUUUUUUUCUGGCAGAGGGACGUCAACUCAAGAAGGGGCGUCAAAAUUUUGAAAUUGGAGAUGGAAAAUUUCUGCUUUCGUCUACGUCUUCUAUGUUCCAUUGUCGGAUCUAACCACCUCUGUAUCCUCGACGAUCGCCUGCAAUAUGGUUGAUUUUGUUGAUGGUUUGAAGGUUUAGGUUCAAUCGAUUGUCCUACUCCAGCCAUGUCACUUUCUUGGCGGAUUCAGUUAGAUUCCCUCGACCUUCGAAUUUCUGGACCUGUAGAUCGAUAGGUGCGAUGGUUGUUAACACUUGCCACUGUUGAAAGGUUCUAUGUCUUUAAUGGUCCGGCCUCAUACCCGGUCCUCAUCUGUUACUCUACCCCUGUAUAAUCACUAAAUCAUCAUAUUCUUUCAAUUUUCUCCAAUUAAAUUCAUUAGUAUUGUUCUGUUCCAUUUCCAAAUACCAUUGAUACGGUAAAAAUCCAUGAGGAUUUGGAGAUAAUACUGACAUGUUUGUUGUUUUGGCUGCCGCCCACCAGGUGUAUGAUUAAAUGCCUAGAUGACUUAUUCUAUUAUGUUAUCAUGGUUUUAUCUGUAUUUUAUCAUCGCUUCAUUUUGUUUUCUUAAUAAAUUACUUUUACCUAUUUCAGAAAAGUCAACCUAGGAUGGGCUUCAUGGUAAAUUAAGAAGAUUUGAGGGACCACAGAAGGUUGACGCCUCAACAGAUGGGAAUGGAAUGGUAAUGUGAAGGUGGAGGUGAAAGUGGUUGGCCAUGCAAUGUUUGAUACUUCUAAAGUAGAGAAUAUCAUGGUUUUCAUUUUAGAAUCAUCAAAUUCUACCAAAGGGAAGAGACAGCUUCUUAAGCAAUAUGAAUUUCAUUCCCCUAAUCAACAAUAUUUAGCCCGUUAAUGGUACUUAAUCAUCUAUCAGGUAGAAGCUUUCAAGAUUCAAGUUUUUGAUGAUUAUGUAGUAAUUGUAGCAUAAGUAACAGUUGUUGAAUAUCCUUUCUUUCCGAGUAUCUUGCUGUACUUUUGUUUUAAUAUAUGCAUACCAACUUUGUAUCUGUAACUAAGAUAGCAUUUCUGUUUGGUAAGAUAAUAUAAUAAUUAAUAAUUUAUUUUGUAAAUUUUUCAGGUCAAC